rnacentral:rRNA from 1 species
UACGUAGGUGACAAGCGUUGUCCGGAUUUACUGGGCGUAAAGGGCGCGUAGGCGGCUUUGUAAGUCGGGGGUGAAAGCCUGUGGCUCAACCACAGAAUUGCCUUCGAUACUGCAUGGCUUGAGACCGGAAGAGGUAAGUGGAACUGCGAGUGUAGAGGUGAAAUUCGUAGAUAUUCGCAAGAACACCAGUGGCGAAGGCGGCUUACUGGUCCGGUUCUGACGCUGAGGCGCGAAAGCGUGGGGAGCAAACAGG